rnacentral:tRNA from 1 species
GGGCAGGUAGCGCAGUGGUCGACGCACUUCCCUUCAAAAAGGGGGGGGGUGACGCUGGUUCGAAUCCGGUCCUGACCG